GUUUAACAUGUACUUCUGAAAAUGCAUAAACUUACUUGAAAGGUCUUUUGUUCUUAGCACACACUUCGUCAUUGUUCUCUUUUCUCUUUCUCCCCCGAGUCAUCAUAAUAACUUCAGUCACCUUUGCUGAAGCUUUCCUGUGUAGUGCAAAACAUUGUUUAAAUUGCACAUAUUAACAUGCUUUAACAGCAGUUCGACUUGCACAAGUACAGUAGACAAGAUACAUGAAAUUUCUUCAAAACUUACUUCACCGGUUUCCUCUUCUUAGCACGAUCCUCUUCUUCUGCCGCCUCUUCUUCUUCUUCUUCUUCUUCUUC
rnacentral:lncRNA from 1 species